rnacentral:rRNA from 1 species
AACGAACGCUGGCGGCAUGCCUAACACAUGCAAGUCGAACGAAGCCUUCGGGCUUAGUGGCGCACGGGUGCGUAACGCGUGGGAAUCUGCCCUUUGGUUCGGAAUAACAGUUGGAAACGACUGCUAAUACCGGAUGAUGACGACAGUCCAAAGAUUUAUCGCCAGAGGAUGAGCCCGCGUAGGAUUAGCUAGUUGGUGUGGUAAAGGCGCACCAAGGCGACGAUCCUUAGCUGGUCUGAGAGGAUGAUCAGCCACACUGGGACUGAGACACGGCCCAGACUCCUACGGGAGGCAGCAGUGGGGAAUAUUGGACAAUGGGCGAAAGCCUGAUCCAGCAAUGCCGCGUGAGUGAUGAAGGCCUUAGGGUUGUAAAGCUCUUUUACCCGGGAUGAUAAUGACAGUACCGGGAGAAUAAGCUCCGGCUAACUCCGUGCCAGCAGCCGCAGUAA